UGGGCUGUAGCUCAGUGGUAGAGCACCUGCCUCAUAUAUUUGAGGCACUGGGUUCAAUUCUCAGCACCACAU
rfam:Ictidomys tridecemlineatus contig129661, whole genome shotgun sequence.